CAGUAAGUAAUUUAAGUUAAAAAUAUUAGUUUUGGAGACUAAAAAUGUAAAUAAUUUUCUUUACUGA
rnacentral:tRNA from 1 species